GGGCUAUUAGCUCAGUGGUAGAGCGCGCCCCUGAUAAUUGCGGGCGGAUGUCAGCGGUUCGAGUCCGCUUAUCUCCA
rnacentral:tRNA from 1 species